UCGAGCGAGCAGUCGCACGCACCAGUCGCACACCAGAUCCCUUCGCCGCCGCCCUCCAUCCUUCGCCAUCGCAGAUCCAUCCCGCCGCCGCCGCUCCAUCCUCUCUUCCCUCCAAGCUUGUCGCCGGCGGCGAAGCGUACGACGCUCCAUCCUUUCGCCUGCAGGAACCUAUCACGCGCGCCGAGGCGAGGGCCUCGUGGACUCCGUCCGACGCCGCUUGGCCGACGACCCCACCGCUGGGCAGGAGGAGUGUUCCGCGCCGUGAGGAACCCGCCACGCGCGUCAAGGCGAGACGCCUCCUGGGCUCCGUCCGUUUCCAGAGCGAGCGCCCGCGAAUACCUAGCUAGCCGCCGCCGUCGUGACUGUUCCAGCCACCGCCAAGUGUUGGCGUACUUGACCGGAAGUGAGUGCGCGGCGGAGCAAAGCUCAGCCUGGGUCUUCAUCAAUGCAAGACGGGGCAGGAGGGAGCGGGAAGUUUUUCAGCCGCAUGAAUGUGGAAGGCGCUUGACAAAUCAGAGAUGUAUGAAGCUUCUGCCGAGAUGUUUGAGAGGGGCAGCAUAGACAUAAGAGGGGUUCAAUAUUGUUAACUCACAUCAUCCAGACCAGGUUAGCACACAUGCCAUGCAUAUUCUACUACUUGAUGUAGCCUUUCUCUUAGAUGUAAGUAGUAUUUUUACUGUGCUACUCUUUGAUCUCGAGUAGUUUGUUCAUGUAUUGUUUAAGAUGCCAAAUAGAAUUAAAUGGAAUAUAAGUUUCAAAGUUUCAUUAUGACAGAUGAAAAGUACACGAAGGUAAACUAAUAUGUCUCCUGCCACUCGUAUAGUCGUGGUUGUCCUUGACUAUAGUGUACUUAGGAGGAGGAGAUGAACAUGAAGAAUGAGUUCGUAAUGUGGUUGUCGUUGAUUAAUGGCACCCCCAGUAGCGGUGAUAAUGACCAUGGGGAGGAGAGCACGAACAUCAACAACCUCUUGGCCUUGUUGGCUUCUCCGACAUCAAUAACGACGACUAGCUCGCCAUACAGUUGCUAGAGUGCUAAAGAAUGGUCGAGAAGAACAAUGGAUUGUUGAUGGAGCCAAUCAACAAGGAUGAUAAGGACGGACGCAACAGUGAGAAUAAGAAGGCGGAGCUCAUCGCCGUCGGCCGCCAGCUCUGCAGGGAGAAGAAGAACGACAAUGCGUUAACGACAAUGCGUUAAUUAUAAAGAAGUCAACAAUGCCACCUGGUGUGCAAAGGGUCCUAAGGUAUAUGUUAUCCACCAUUGGUAUUGACCCAUUAGAAUAUGUAAGCCCCCGAUACAACAUACGGGCAAUUUAUAUACAUCAUAGCCCAUAGCAACGUUGUCUGCACCAUUGGAGUUGUAUAUAUUAGAAUUGAGUUAUGAUGGCAUAAUUUUUUCCGUCACAAGUUAAAUGAGCAUUGUGUAAAAGUCUAACUAAGUUUUCUUUCACAUUCUUCUAUAAAUUGGAAGUCCAAUAUAGAUUUCUCAAUGUAUCAUUUUGGGAUUAUUUGACCAUCGGACAAUAUUGCCAUGCUGACCAUUUCUCUUGUCUUUGCAAUAUCUAUAGGAUCUAAUGUAAAAGUAUAAUGUGCUUCACAGAUUUGUUAUUUCUUUUGAUUUUGCCUUGCUUGUUAUUUAUGCUUAUAGCUUUAUAUGUGAGAUUCUAUUUGGCGACACCUUUUUCAAUUGUUAGUUGAGGUGCUUCUGAGUUUAUCAAUCAGGUGAGGCAUGUGGUGCCCUUUCGGAAUGUCGUUUUCUUCUUCCUUGCAUCUCAAAUGCAAGCAACCAUGCUUCUACCGAGGCUUAGAAGAAAUGAAGAUGUAUGUUCCAGAACCUCUUUUAUAUUAUUUCAUCACAAAAAUUUACUGCAAUAUUUGCUCUUUUUUGUAAAUACACAUGAUAGACUUGAACGAUCUUCUGUUAUAUUGCAUGAUGCCCAAUUGAUAUGGUACGAGAAAAAAAAAUUCUGAUUGUAAGGUUUAUCUUCAUAUAGCAACUUCCAUGAAAUAUGUUGCAACUUCAGAAAUCUAAAAUGAUGGUUUUAAUAUUAAUGUCCGGGAUGAGGCCAUAGGUUUUUUUGAUCCAUAUCUAAUUUUCCAAAGGUUGAAGAUGUCUUUACUGUCAAGUUUAUAGUCAUCAAAUGGUCCUUCAUUACCUGAUUGCAGGCUGUUGUCAAGAAUUUCACCCCACCCAUUGCAUUGGAUAUCACCUCUGGCUGCAGCAAUAGUGUGUCAAUCUAGUUCACGUGAAUUGAGCUACGCAAUGUCCUAUUAUUACUCUGUUACUCAAAGAGUUGGUAUCCCUAAAUAGUAAGAACAGAGAAGAUUCUUAGUGAGUUAUUACACGUAUUUUAUUCUGAUCUCCUAUAAAAAUCUUUUGUGGUUUAGGCACAACCCAUAUUAUGGUUCUUUUAUACCAAUUAAGUUCACUAUUCAACGAAAUUCCUUUUCACUGAAAUAAGAACCACGUAAUGCUUACAAUUGAUCUGGUCAGCUAGAUAACUAAAUGAGUUAAAAUUAUGUGUACUAUCUUUUGACAUAUGUAAUGUGGGGUAGAAGACCAGUGUCUCUCGCUAGGGAUUUCUGGAGGCAACAUCCCUCUGAUUAUAUGCACUUAACUAUUUUGCUUCUGGCUUCCUGCUAUUGUAUUUUACGUUGUCUGCAGAUGCAAAUUCUUUUACAACUAAUUAGUCUCGGAUAAUACUUCAACCCAGACAUCAACGGAGCAAAGAACUUGAUUAAAAGGUUCAAGGAGCUCUGAUGCUUUCUAUGACCAAAGAAUUCAUUCAAGCCGGAUUUUCUUUCAAGAUAACAAUAAUGCCUAGGAGCAUCCCUAUCCAUUGAACAAUACCGGAGAGAUAGAGCGCCACUGCCUUACACUUUUCAAUAUCCCUAGCUUUAUUUUCAUUAUUGUGAUAAUUGUGGUAUUUAAAAAUUUAGAAUGCCUUGUGCAAUUAUCUGUGGAUUUUGCAACCCAUGUAAUCUCCUAUUAGACUGGAUAUGAUCAAAAUAAUUCAGCUUUUCAUCAUUGGUUGUCAUCAAGUAGAGCUUAUUUUGUGGAUGUAUGCAUUGGUUUAUGUUUCCAGGCUUUUAGUUUUUCCCUUAUAAUAUUCAGUUGAUUCCCGUGAGGGGCGGCGACCCAUGCUGGACGUGUGAUGAGGGGAGUGUUGUUGAUGCGGUAUGGGAGAUGUCUCGUGGAGAGAGGGGAGGGUGAAAAAGUGGUGGAUCGCAAAUGUUUGGAUGUGCUCGAUCUAACGAUUGACCUGGCGGACAGAUAUCAAGGGUGAUGUUGAGGCCGGCGGUGAAAUAAAUGGCCAAAUGGGGCUCCUCAAUGCAAGUGAGAAGGCUGAUUGAUUCCCGUGGAGCAAUGCAAUGUUGCAUCAGAAUGUAUUGGGUUCCAUUUUCGGGUAGAGA